rnacentral:rRNA from 1 species
UACGAACCGAGCGAACGUUGUUCGGAAUCACUGGGCUUAAAGGGCGCGUAGGCGGGCUGUCAAGUCUGGGGUGAAAUCCCGCGGCUCAACCGUGGAACUGCCUCAGAUACUGACGGCCUCGAGGGAGGUAGGGGCGAGCGGAACUGUGAGUGGAGCGGUGAAAUGCGUUGAUAUUCACAGGAACUCCGGUGGCGAAGGCGGCUCGCUGGACCUUUUCUGACGCUGAGGCGCGAAAGCUAGGGGAGCGAACAGG